rnacentral:tRNA from 1 species
UAUAGCUCAGUGGUAGAGCACAUGCUUAGCAUGCAUGAGGUCCUGGGUUCAAUCUCCAGUA